AUCAUGUUUUCCAUCACCCAGUUUACAAAUACGGAAAUAGGGUAUUCACUACUUGAAUUAGGCGGUUUUAUUUUUCAUUUUUAAUUAUUUAAAAUUUAAGUAUCUAAUUUUGAAAUAAGAUAAAAAUAAAUAUUUGUGGGAUUGUAGUCAUGAAGUGAUUCAAAAUUGUUUUGUACGUUCUAUGGCAUGCUACUAAAGGGCUAAUAUUUUCACUUUCAGGACAGAAAUCAGGCCAUCAUUUCAGAUCUCAAAAAUGGAAAAAUUUAUGGAAUUCCAAGGUUAAAGUUAUUAGUGUUUACUAAUUGCUUGCAAUGGCUUCAAAACCAAGAAUCAUUGAUGAAGUAAUUAUAUCUUCUGACUCUGACUCGGAAUCAUCUUUCUGUCAAAACAUUCACCUUUCUCUAGAGAUUCAUUAAAAACUUCUAGUAGAGAAAUGCCCAUUUUAGGACAAAAUUUUACAAACCACUCAACCAUUAUGCCAUCAAUUCCAGGGGACUUGUCUUUUACUAAUGAUUGGC